GGCUGCGGGAGGCCCUGGAGCGCGGCAGUGAUGGCGGGGCCGGUGAAGGACCGCGAGGCCUUCCAGAGGCUCAACUUCCUGUACCAGGUGAGUCUGCGACAAGGGCCCCACGGGGACGGUGCUCGGCGUCCCAGAGUGACUGCUCCCUUCCCGCAGGCCGCCCAUUGUGUCCUUGCCCAGGACCCCGAGAACCAGGCGCUGGCGAGGUUUUACUGCUACACUGAGAGGACCAUUGCGAAGCGGCUCGUCUUGCGGCGGUGAGACAGCCACGGGGCGGGCGGCGGGCGGGACGCGGGAGGAACGCGAGAGGGAGCGCGGGCGCCAGACCACUAUCCUCCUCCGCCCCCAGGGAUCCCUCGGUGAAGAGGACUCUUGUCGAGGCUGCUCUUCCCUCCUCGUCCCAGGCCUCACCUGCACCCAGCGCCAGAGACGUGAGUGCUCCAACGGAGGUGGAAGACUGCGGAGCGUUGGGGGCGCGGAGGGGGGCGGGGUGGGGGGCGGGCACUGGAGGCCAACAGCGCCUUUCUCACUGUAGAUGGAUGUUGGGUGUGGGAUUCGCAGGAGUCUUCCUUCUUCGGGUUUGGAUUAAGUUCCUAACGCCACUUGCACAAACUAGGGUUUGGGCUCGGCUUUUUUUUUUUUUUUCUUCCAGUGUGGGCAAUAAAUAAUAACUUUUAAGAGGCAACCCCACCCAUGCACAAUAAUAGAUGUUAUUCGGCUUUGUGGAGGACGAUUCCCAUCACCAUUCAUUUAUUAAGCAAAUACUUAUUUUCUAAAAUGUGUCAGGUACUGUGCUAGAUUCAUUAUUCUCAUUGAAAUUACGGUCUGAUGGAACAGACUAAGAAACAAAAUGGUGUAGAAAAAGAUUAACUGGGGGAGUAGAAUGCUCACUUACUCAUGCCAGUGGUGGCGAAGUUUAUGAUAAGCAAAGGGAGUGAGAGAUGGAAAUUCUAGGCAUGUGUGCAGACUCUGAGACAAGAGAGCUUGUGGUGCUGUCAAAGAAAUGAGAGUGCAGGAGGCUGGAGUUUGAGGUAGGAGGGCAAGACAUGAGACUGGAGAGGGAAACAGGCCAGUUCUUGAAGUCUUGUUAGGGAGUUUGAACUUUAUCUUAAAGAGUUCCAGGAAAUCGAUGGAGCUUAUGCCGAGGCGUGACACCAUCAAAUGUGCAUUCAAAUUGGGGGUGUGGUGGGGGAGCGGGGAUACCUACUGAAAAACACUGGAGGCAAAACUGGCAGCAAGAGACCGUUACUUCUAAACGUGGACAGUCUUUUUCCCAUGUUCACCCUAGGCUGCAGGGGACAGCGCUGGACCGUACAGACCUGCCUAACAUGCCAGCGCAGCCAACGCUUCCUCAAUGAUCCCGGGCAUUUACUCUGGGGAGACAGGCCUGAGGCCCAGCUCGGGAGCCAAGCAGAUUCCAAACCACUACAACCCUUGCCAAACACAGCCCACUCCAUUUCAGACCGCCUCCCUGAGGAGAAAAUGCAGACUCAGGGUUCCAGUAACCAGUGAUGGAUUCACCCCAUCUCCCAAAUAAAGUUUACUUGUUUUACAUUCCA
rnacentral:sRNA from 1 species